AGCGUGGACAUUUUUUUCUCUUUCCUUUUUUAGGCCAAAGAGGUGGACUACUGGACAUGCUACAACAAUUAAUUACUACCGUUAUAGAUUGAUAUUAUCUGAUCAAGAUUCAGGAAAAAGAAUUAGAAAACCUACCAUUUUUUUUUUCCUAUGACAAGGCUUGCGAAACAUUAUAAUCAUAACCCAGAAGGAUUUCCUUGCCUUACAUAUCAUAAGAUUUCAACUAUUUAAACAGCAGGGUGCAAAGGAGCCAAUGCACCCUUGUAAACAAAACAAACAGUUCAAUCUUCAUCAACCAAGAAAGGAACAUGGCAGCCAAGUCUUCAUUGAAGCUAGCAUUUUUUGUUGCUGCUCUUUUGGUUAUCGCUUCCUGUUCAGAAAUGGUUGCCGCCCGCGGAGUAGUGGAAAGGGGCCCUGUAAUUUCUUUUGAUUGCAAAGUCACUGCUGAUUGCACCGGUGCCAAAUGCUUGUGUGGAAAAUGUGUUUGUAAAGAUGGCCAUUGUACUUGUGCUGCAAAAUCUCAGUCCUCGUUAGAUGAGAAAUCCGGGAAUUGAAUUUUCAUUUAAAUCCCUAUUUUCUAUUUGGGGUUAUUAAGUAAAAUCUAUGAAUCAGCACUAAAAUAAAAGUUGUAUCCACCUUUUGAUUUAUAAUUGGGAGAUGGUAUUUGCAUUUUGUUCUUUCCUAA